rnacentral:rRNA from 1 species
GUGCCAGCAGCCGCGGUAAUACGGAGGGUGCGAGCGUUAAUCGGAAUUACUGUGCGUAAAGCGUACGUAGGCGGUUUAUUAAGUUAAAUGUGAAAUCCCUGGGCUUAACCUAGGAACUGCAUUUAAAACUGGUAAGCUAGAGUCUCGUAGAGGGGGGAUAGAAUUCCAGGUGUAGCGGUGAAAUGCGUAGAGAUCUGGAGGAAUACCAGUGGCGAAAGCGACCCUCUGGACGAAACUGACGCUCAGGUACGAAAGCGUGGGGAGCAAACAGGAUUAGAUACCCCAGUAGUCC